rnacentral:RNase_P_RNA from 21 species
CGAGUCAGCUAGGCAGUCGCCGUUCAUUCUUAUUCGUAAGCGUGAAGGGAGGAAAGUCCGGGCUCCAUAGGGUAGGACGCCAGGUAACUCCUGGGGGGCGCAAGCCUACGGAUAGUGCAGCAGAGAGUAGACCGCCGAUGGCUUCCUCUAUUUCGGUAGAAGAAGCACAGGUAAGGGUGAAAGGGUGCGGUAAGAGCGCACCGCACGACUGGUAACAGCUCGUGGCAUGGUAAACCCCGUUCGGAGCAAGACCAAAUAGGAACUCUAUAGGCGUGUACCCGCGCUGAGUUCGGGUAGGUUGCUAAAGUGUUGCGGUGACGUAACGCGUAGAUGAAUGACUGUCCACGACAGAACCCGGCUUAUCGGUUGGCUCAAAUA